GUUACGUCCCCUGCCUCUGCUUGCCUGGGUAGUGUAGGUGGAGGUAGUUGCUUAAUUACCUAAUUGCCUGAUUGCUUCCACCUGCCUGUGGCCCAAUAUAAGCCCAGUAGUACGAGGCAGGGGAGUGAUUUUUUUCUUUUGGGGCUUGUGAUUUGUGGGGAGAGCUUUGGUUUUGUGAACUUUGUGUGUUUUUGUUUGUAAUUUAGAUUAAUAAAUGUCUGGGUUGGUUUGUUAGAUCAGUUUCUGUCUUGUUUUUGAUCCAUCUGGGCUUUGUUUGUUGCGGCCAGGCGAGCCAGCCGUAACAGUGACCCAUAGGCAGGAAAGCCAAAUUAGCAAUGUAGAGAAGCGCAGAGCAUUGUAAUCACAAAAACCUACACGUACCUGUUAUUUUAACUGUGAUUAACCCCCCCCCCGCCCCCCAUUUCUCAAAUUGAGACAUUAUCAAUGGACUGCAGCAAUUUUUCACAGGUGAUCACUCCACAACUGAAGUGUCAGAAAGGAUCAACACCAACACGACCGAGUCAUCAGGUUUCAACAUGACCCCACUGAAGAUUCUUGCUGCUGCAGUUCCUCGAAUUAUUGAUACAUACCGUAACAUGAAGGCCAUUCAAAAUCAGAGGCACAGGGAGCCACUGCUGGAUCGGACAGACCCACAGAGACAGCCCCUGGAGCACGGCCAAAACGACAGGAAUGACGCCUCAGUACAACACUCCCCCUGGUCCACAAAGAUGGAGAUGCCGCUUGCUCCGCCCCAAGUCCAGGAGAGGUCGGAGCUUGCUGAUUGGGGUGGCAAUGGUGAUGGGAAGGGGGAGGGAUUAAUUUUAUGAGUUUGUUAGGA